GUCCAUGGCCAUACCACCCUGAACGCACCCUGAAGCUAAGCAGGGUCGGGCCUGAUUAGUACUUAGAUGGGAGAAAAAUGAUAUUUGCAGGAAAAUUAGUGAAUAUCAGAUGACGUCUAAA
ensembl:rRNA 5S_rRNA 5S ribosomal RNA